rnacentral:rRNA from 1 species
AACGGGAUUAGAUACCCCGGUAGUCCUAGCUGUAAACGAUGAGCACUUGGUCGGGGAUCCCCUCAUAGGUUCCCGAUCGUAGCGAAAGUGUUAAGUGCUCCGCCUGGGGAGUAUGGUCGCAAGUCUGAAACUCAAAGGAAUUGACGGGGGCUCACACAAGCGGUGGAGGAUGUGGCUUAAUUCGAGGCUACGCGAAGAACCUUAUCCAGGCCUUGACAUGUAUGGAUGCUGCCCGUGAAAGCGGGGUUAGUUGCCUUCGGGUGAAACUUACACAGGUGCUGCAUGGCUGUCGUCAGCUCGUGUCGUGAGCUGUCGGGUUAAGUCCCUUAACGAGCGAAACCCUUGUCCCUAGUUGCCAGCGAGUUAUGUCGGGGACUCUAGGGAGACUGCCGGUGUUAAACCGGAGGAAGGUGGGGAUGACGUCAAGUCCUCAUGGCCUUUAUGGUCUGGGCUGCACACGUCCUACAAUGGCAUGUACAAAGGGAAGCGACCUCGCGAGAGCAAGCAAAUCCCAAAAAGCAUGCCCUAGUUCGGAUUGCAGGCUGAAACUCGCCUGCAUGAAGCCGGAAUCGCUAGUAAUCGUGGGUCAGCAUACCACGGUGAAUGUGUUCCUGAGCCUUGUACACACCGCCCGUCAAGCCACGAAAGUGGGGGGGGCUUAAAGUCACCGAGCUAACCGUAAGGAGGCAGGUGCCUAGAGUCAACUCCGCGAUUGGGACUAAGUCGUAACAAGGUAACC